CAUGGCAUACGUGAUGCAUGUAUCAUGCUCAAAAUUUAUUUAUUUUCUUUGAAAUGUAAUGAGUUAUUCCACUCACCUCUGGCUGAAGCUCUAAUGACUCUGAAGCAGCUAUCUCACUGCUGAGGUCCUCGGUUCCUCGGGUCUGAACCUACACAGGUGGACUCAAAUGAGGGACCAAACAUCCAUGAACAUGACUCUAAAAUACUCCCCAAAAACCCCCUAAAACAUCUUAAAACAAUCA
rnacentral:lncRNA from 1 species